AGCGAACGCUGGCGGCGUGCCUAACACAUGCAAGUCGAACGUGAAAAGGGAAACCUGAGUAAAGUGGCGUACGGGUGAGUAACGCGUAGGUAAUCUACCCCAGAAUCUGGAAUAACCUGCCGAAAGGCGGGCUAAUACUGGAUAGAGCGAGGGAACUCGUAAGAGAGUUUUUCGGGAAAGGGAGCCCGCAAGGGCCUUCGUUCUGGGAUGAGCCUGCGUCUCAUUAGCUAGUUGGUAAGGUAACGGCUUACCAAGGCGAUGAUGAGUAGCUGGUCUGAGAGGAGGAACACCCACACGGGAACUGAAACACGGGCCCGACCCCUAGGGGGGGGGGCAGGGGGGAAUUUUGCGCAAGGGACGAAAGUCUGACGCAGCCACGCCGGGGGGGGAAAAAAGGCCUUGGGGUUUUAAAGCUCUGUCGGGUGGGAAAAACAUCUUCAAAGUGAAAAGCUAGGAGAACGGGCGGUACCAAAAAAGGAAGCACCGGCUAACCCCGG
rnacentral:rRNA from 1 species